rnacentral:rRNA from 1 species
ACUGCGAAUGGCUCAUUAAAUCAGUUAUCGUUUAUUUGAUAGUACCUUACUACUUGGAUAACCGUGGUAAUUCUAGAGCUAAUACAUGCUAAAAACCCCGACUCACGAAGGGGUGUAUUUAUUAGAUUAAAAACCAAUGCCCUUCGGGGCUCUCUGGUGAUUCAUAAUAACUUCUCGAAUCGCAUGGCCUUGUGCCGGCGAUGGUUCAUUCAAAUUUCUGCCCUAUCAACUUUCGAUGGCAGGGUCUUGGCCUGCCAUGGUUACAACGGGUAACGGAGGGUUAGGGCUCGACCCCGGAGAAGGAGCCUGAGAAACGGCUACUACAUCCAAGGAAGGCAGCAGGCGCGCAAAUUACCCAAUCCCGAUUCGGGGAGGUAGUGACAAUAAAUACUGAUACAGGGCUCUUUUGGGUCUUGUAAUUGGAAUGAGUACAAUUUAAAUCCCUUAACGAGGAACAAUUGGAGGGCAAGUCUGGU